rnacentral:rRNA from 1 species
AUUGAACGCUGGCGGCAUGCCUUACACAUGCAAGUCGAACGGUAACGGGCCUUCGGGUGCCGACGAGUGGCGAACGGGUGAGUAAUACAUCGGAACGUGCCCGAUCGUGGGGGAUAACGAGGCGAAAGCUUUGCUAAUACCGCAUACGAUCUACGGAUGAAAGCAGGGGACCGCAAGGCCUUGCGCGGACGGAGCGGCCGAUGGCAGAUUAGGUAGUUGGUGGGAUAAAAGCUUACCAAGCCGACGAUCUGUAGCUGGUCUGAGAGGAUGAUCAGCCACAGUGGGAAGGAGAAAGGGCACAGACUCUGAGGGAGGGGAGAAGGGGGGAAUUUGGGAAAAGGGGGGCAAGCUGGACCCAGCAAGCCGGGGGGAAGAAGGAAGGCCUUGGGGUUGUAAACUGCUUUUGAAAGGAACAAAAAGCCUUUUUUUAAAACAGGAGGGUAAUGACGGUACCGAAAAAAAAAGCACCGGUUAACUAGGU